rnacentral:lncRNA from 1 species
GGGUUUUAACACCGAAAAUGGAUUUUAAGUACUAUAUCAAAUAGUGGGGUUUGAAAAAGAUAGGUAUCAGUCUUCUGGUUCGAAUUGACCAUGUACCCACACAUGACUAUUUUCGGGAUGUUUUUAAUACGAAGAAAAUAGGCCAGGAUCACUAUUUUAAUGGAGGCAUUUGAGUGCAAUGCACAGUGUCCUGGGCCAAGAUUGAUUGGUCGUGUGUUGGUUAAGAGAAACCAUCCUGGGCUGUUAAGC